UACGUAGGGCGCAAGCGUUAUCCGGAAUUAUUGGGCGUAAAGAGCUCGUAGGCGGUUUGUCGCGUCUGCCGUGAAAGCCCGGGGCUUAACCCCGGAUCUGCGGUGGGUACGGGCAGACUAGAGUGCAGUAGGGGAGACUGGAAUUCCUGGUGUAGCGGUGAAAUGCGCAGAUAUCAGGAGGAACACCGAUGGCGAAGGCAGGUCUCUGGGCUGUAACUGACGCUGAGGAGCGAAAGCAUGGGGAGCGAACAGG
rnacentral:rRNA from 1 species